rnacentral:lncRNA from 1 species
GGUGAACUUAAUCAACUCAGUUAAUUUGUUGUUUAUCUGAUGGAAUGCUGGAAUGUAGAUCUAAUGACAAUCUUCUUUAAUUCCAGCUGCUGUGUAUAUGUCACAAAAACAAAGUUAAAAUACGGCUGGUUCCAGGAAGGAAAAUACUGCCCUUUGUGAUCAAUCAAAUGAAGAGGAGGGAAUGACUGUCAUGUCAAUACAGAAAAGCUUUCAGAGUGGGAGAGAGAAGAUAGCUUCAGUUCAUCUGUAUCAGGUCAUGGGUGACAAUAUGUGUUUCAACAUCUUUUGUGAGGAAACAGGGCAAUAACUCUGAAUGUUGUAACUUGGUGUCUACAUAAUUAGGUGUUUUUCCAUAUUGAUUGGAAGCCGCAGCUCCA